GAGGGGGGAAGUGGUCGCUCGACCCGACCCGGGAUGACCCUUACGAUUGUCUCUUAGGGUGUACGAUUUAUUACAAGUUAUUUCUUUUUGCCUAAAUAUUUCGAAAAUUUUAAAAUAAUUUUAUUUUUAUAUUUAAAUAAAUUUUUUAUUUAUUAAUCAUAAAAUAAAUAAUAAUAUAAUAUAUUAUAGUCCUACAAUAUUUAGAUUCAAUUCUCAACUAUGAAAUAUAAAUUAUUAGAAUUUAAAUAUAAAGAACAUAAUAAUGAAUAUAUUUAUUUUUUAAUGUGAUAACUAAAAAAUUUAUUUCCUUAAAAAUAACACUAAUUUAUUACUGUAGGUUUAAUUUUUUAAUUUUUAAAAUUAUUUAAUUAAUUUUAAAAAAAGAGAAAUAUUUUUAAAAUAUUUUUCAUAGAUAAUAUAUGUGUUUAAAUUUUAAAAUAUUUUUAUAUGGAUAUUUGAUAAUAGAUUCCAUAUGAAAUAUUUUUAAAUAUUUUUUUAUAUAAUUUUUAUGUCAUGAGAAAUUAUUACUUAAUCUAAUUAUAAAUUUCAUCUCAACUAAAUUUAUUAAAUUCAAAUUCAUAUAGAAAAAAUAAGUUUUUAAUUCAUAUUAUUUUAAUAUUUUAAAUGUUUAAAUAGUAUUAGAAAAUUUAAAGUACAUAAAAUUAUUAUUUUAAGUUUGUGUUAUUAUAUAAAUAGGAAAAAUAAAAUAUUUUAAAGCUUUAUCCUAGUACUCAAUGUCUUAAAUUUUUACUGUAUGUAUUAAAUUUGAUUGUAUGACCUCACGAAAGUUAUAUUUCAGUUACAAUCAUUUUGGAAUCUUCAAGUUAAUUUUUGUUAUUAUUAUAUUUAAUUUAUAUGGAUUUCUUAGUCUAAAGAGAAUUAUUUUAUACCAAAAUGAAAGAUAAAGAAAAUGUAAAUUUUCAACAACAAUUAUCUAAUAAGAUUAAAUUAAUUAAUAUCAAUAAUUUAUAUAAAAAUUUAAAAGACAAGUAUCUAUAUAUAUAUAUAUAUAUAUACACACAUAUACAUAUACAUAUAUUUAUUGGUAUUUUUUUUAGUUUUUCUUUCUUGCAAAUGAUAGUUAUUUUAUUUUUUGAGAACUAAACACCAAAUCUAGAGCCUCUAUGAUUGUAAAGAUGAAUUAUCAAUUAAUUAUAUGUCAUGGUUCAAUAAAGUCCAGCUUAAAGAAGAGAAUACAUAUUUUAAAUAAAACAUGAGUCCAAUGAAUAGCCUCAUGAACUAAUACUAUAUUGCCUUAGCUGUUUUGUGGGGAGAUAAAUAAUGUUUGAUCUCCUUCUAUAUAUUUCAAUUGAAUUGAUUAUAUCUUUAGUUGCAAAAUUUAUUCAUAUAUAUAAAUUAACUUGAUUAGAAUAUAGUUUUUUAAGGAUUUAUUUAUUUAUAUAUUAUCAUGAGUAAUCUUUUUCAAAAAUUUUAAAUAAAUUUAUAUUUAUUCAAGUGGUCUUUAAUGAAUUGUAGUCAAGCUUCAUAACGUGUCAUAAGGUUUUCAAAAACACAAUUUCUAUUAUAUAAAGUCUUAAUAUCUUAUCUCUUUGUAAGUCUUUGGCAUCUUAAGUUUUAAUAUGAAUUUCUUAAAGUGUAAUUUUUUUAUAUGUUUGUAAUAUAAUUACAUAAUCUUCUAAAAGAGAAGGUGUUAAUAUAGAUAAAAAUAUUAAAAUAUAAUUAUUUUUUAUAUAAUAAAAGAAAUUAGAUCUAUUUUUAGAUCUAUUAUAAGUUUAUUAUUUGAUUCUUUUUUAGUAAUUUUAAGGCUAAGUUAUCUAAUUUUGGUACAUUUUUUAUUUUUUAUUUUUUAUUUUUUAUUUUAUUAUCUCAGAAAAGUCCUUUAUAUUGGAAUUUCUUCAUGUGAUCUAUUUGACUACAGCUUAAGACUAUGAGCAUUUUUUUUUUUUUUUUUUUUUUUUUUCUUUGAAGACAAUUGAUAUGUACUAUUGAUGCUUCAAUUUUCUCUAAAUAGUAAUAUUGAAGAUUUGAAUACAAAUUGAUAUAAUUUUAUAAUAGUAAUAUUACUAGGUCUAUGUUUUUUAGUUUAUUAUUAUUUCUUUUUUUUACAAAAUCAUAUGCAAUAUUACAAAAUAAAUUAUAGUAUUAAAUAUGUUUUAAGAUUUAAUUGUAAAAGAAGUAAGUUUGUAGUAUUUCUAAGUAUCUUAUAUAUGCUUUGACUAUUAUUUUUAAUAAAUAUUUAAAAUUUUAAUUAUUUCCACAUAAAUAUCUAUUUUAUAAGUAAUUAAAUAAAAGAAUUUAGAAGAAUGUAGUUUGAAAAGCUAUUGUCUAUCUUAAUACAAUAUUUUAUAAUAUAAGAUUGGUAGACAAUCUAAGAUAUCACAAAAAACUUAUUAAGUCUUACAAAAAUUCUAAUUAUAUAGGUUUUGUUAUAUAAAAACUUCAUUAAGUUAGAAAAAAAUAAAUGAUCUUAUAAAUUAAGAUAUCUUGUAAAUCUUCUAUAAAUAUAUAUUUUUUAUAGACUUACUUCUAUUACAAUAUAAUGGUUUAUUUUUUUACUUUUUUAAUUAUAUUUUGUAAUCAUUUUAAUAUAUAUAUAUAUAUAUAUAUAUAUAGAUAUUUUUAUUAUAAUUUUUCAUGUAAUAAGAUUUCAUAUUUUUUAGAAUUCAUCAUAAUAUUCUAUUGUCUAUUCAAAAGAAAGAAAAAAAAGUAAAAUAUAUAAAACGUAUGUAUAUAUAUAUAUAUAUAUAUAUAUAUAUAUUAAACUACUACUUUAUUUUAUAUAUUUAUAUUUAAGAAUCUUCUAAAAUAUACUAUUUUUUUCUAUAAUUUGUUUACAUUUUCAUCUUUGAAGUGAUACCAUUUAAGUUUUAUUUAUGAAAGAAAAAAAAGUCAAAAAGUCACUAAGCAUAUUUAAUAUAAUUCCAAAAUUAUAUUAUAUUUAAAAUUGAUUGAAUCGUUUUACAUUAUAAGCUAUUUUAUCUUGGUUUUAAAAUUAUAUAAAAUAAAAUAAAAAAUAUAGCUAUAUUUCUAUAAGUUUUUUAUUUUGAUUAUUUUAGAAAAUAAUGAAAUAAUUAUUGUUAUUUAGAUAUAGACAUCUUAAGAGAGAUAUUAUCAAGGACAAGAACUCGAUGAAAAAGUAAUUCAGACAAGUGAGCCUUCACUCAAAGAAAGGUAACAAAAUAUAAAUAAACAAGUAUGUAUAUUGAAAGAGAAACUGGAAUGGCUAUUGCCAAAAGACAAGAAAAUAGAGACCCUUGAAACUAGACUAGAAACAAGAAAGGAAUUGACAAGAGUGAAGAAGGCUUCACUCUUGUCUCUAUAUAUACUAUCUAACUAGGGGCUAUGUGGCGAUAUUCUAUAGGACCUCCAAUAUGUGUUGACUUUGUAGGACACAUGCCUUGACUUACAAGGCAAGUUUUUCUACGUGUGGGCCACAUAAUUAACUUGAUCUUCAAGCUAACAACAUGUGUGGCACAUGGCCAACUUGUUAACCAUUUUUUUAAUCCAAAAAUUCAAUUAAAGACACCUAUGAAGUCAAAGCAGCAUCUAUAAAGCUUCUAGGAAGCUUCCAUAUUAAAUACUAUAGAAUUAACUUACUUUUACUUACUUUUACUUACUUCUACAUACUUUUACUUACUUCCACCUAUUUGUAUAUGUAAUUUCUAGCUUACAUGAGUAUGUCCGUGACAUUAUCCUCCCUUCUAGGGACGAGUUCCACAAGGAGCGGUCAUCAUAUGUUGAAGAAAUCUAUGAUGUGACGAAUUAUAUUCGCCACAUACUCUAAUCUUUGUUCUCUUCGAAGAUGAUUGAUAGGGCCUCUCAACCAUCGGUAGUGUCUCAUACCAGGGCAAGAAGACCACCCAGUUAUUUGAUCAUUGUUGGGGCCUUCAUAACUUCCUUCGAAUAGAAUAUUUGGAACACCAUCAGGAGUUGUUCCUACUUCUAGCAAAAUCACCAAACAUCGAGAGUCCCUUCUCAAAUCAUGAUAUCUCGCCAUCUAUUUGAAGAAGAACAUGUCAUUCUUGAAGAUCUUCAUCUCGAUUGCAUCAUCUUGAAGGUUGUGACAAUCGUAAUGUCUCGUCCGAUAGGUCAGCAAAUGAAGGCUCUUAAGUCGAAUCUGCUGGUUGUUGGUUCUCCAUCUCCUAAGCAUCACAACUACAAAAAAACUACUAAUAAGGAUUGAAAGUAGAAUGUUAUCUUGCAUAGAUGUUGUUUCUUUUAUAAAGAAGGUUUUCAUCUUGAUUUUGAUGGAUGUCUUUGAUGAAAAGCCUCCACCGCCUUUGGUGAAUUUGCAAGAUUCUUUAUUGGCUCCCAUGUAUAUUUACUAAUAUCAUAUCCGUGCCAAUGGAUAACAUAUUCCAAUUUAUUUUGAUGUCACCUUGAAUCUAAGACUUCUUCUACUUCAAACUCUUCAUUAUUGUCCACUUCUAUAGAAGAAGGUGGAGCUUGUCGUCUUCUUGGUAUGUCUAUUGUCUUGUAUGAUUCAAGAAGAGACACGUGAAAUACUGGAUAAAUUUUCAUUGACUCCAAUAGAUGUAAAUGAUAUGCAACUGGAUUGAUUUGUGUAGAAAUAGAAAAUGGCCCAAGCAUUCGAUAGUCCAACUUGUCACAAGAACAAGUGGUCUUGAUAUUGCGACGAAGUAGCUAUACCUUAUCACCCAAGAAGAAUGGUAGUUGAUCCUUUCGAUAGACAUCCGCAUUGAUCUUUUGUUAUUCUUGAACCUCUUUUAAUUGCGCCUUCAUCGUUGCAUGUAGCUCUGAUAAAUGAAUCGCCAAAUCUUUCGCAGUAGGAUUAUCAACUUUUGAAAAGUCAAAAGUAUCAAGUCGUGGAUGAUAACCAUAAUUAGCAAAGAAAGGUGUUUCUUUUGUAGAAGAGUGUAUCGUAUUAUUGUAAGCAAACUCUGCCAAUGGCAAAAGAGUUGUCCAAUUAUCUUGUUGGUAGUUAAUGAUACAUCUUAAAUAUUGCUCCAAAACUUGAUUAACACGCUCCGUUUGUCCAUCAGUUUGAGGAUAGAAUACCGAAGAUAGUUUUAUAUCUACUUUUAGAAUCUUGAAAAGAGUCCGCCAAAAUCUUGAUACAAAUUGAGUUCCCCUAUCUGAUAUAAUAUCCUUGGGUAAUCCAUGAUAGCGAUAGAUAUUGUCAAGAAAGAGCUUAGUUGUUUCUUCACCUAUGAUAGAUUGUGUACAUGGUACAAAAUGUGCCAUCUUGAUUAAACGAUCUACUAUCACGAAUAUAGAGUCAUAAGAACCUGAGAUUGGAAGAUCCGUGAUGAAGUCCAUAGAAACAGAAGACCAUGGUUGUUCUCGAAUGGGUAAUGGCUGAAGAAGUCCUAAAAGUCGAUGAUGAGGAAUUUUCGAUCUUGAGCAAACAUCACAUGAUUGUACAAAAUCUUUGAGUGCCUUCCACAUUUGAGGCCACCAAAAAUCCUUAGAUAUCAGCUCCAAAGUCUUAUUAUAUCCAAAAUAUCAUACUGCUGGAAAGUCGUGACAAGCUUGAAGAAUACGUAAACGUACUUUUUCUUCUGGAGCAUAUAGGCGUCCUUUGAAAUAGAAUAAGUUAUUCUUGAAUUCAAAUUUAGAGGGAUCAUGAGAUUUAGAAGAAUUAUUCUUGAUAUCAUGAACAAGAGGAUCUGAAGACAUACUUAACUGGACUUCCUUAAAAAAAGUUAAAUUAAUAGUCAAUGUUGAUUUUAUUGCUCGAAGAUGAAAUUGCUCCAGCUUCAAGAGAACCGUUCUUUGUUGCUCAAAAGCUGCAUCUCCUUCUUUUGGUGCAAGAUAAGAACGUCUAAACAAGGCAUCAGACAAACCUUAUUGUUUUCCUAGCCGAUAAGUGAUGAUGAACUCGAAUCUUGAUAAAGACAUGCUCCAACGAGCUUGAGGACGAUUUAAUAUGUGUGCUCACAUAAAAUAUUUGAGGUUCUUGUGAUCCGUAUAUAUGGUGACAGGACUGGAAGCGCCUUCUAGAUAAUGAUGCCAUUCUUGAAAAGAAUCCACAAUUGUAAGAAGUUCUUUGUUGUGGAUCUCAUAAUUGAUUUCUGCUGCUGAGAAUUUUCUUGAAUGAAAGGCUACUGGAUGAAGUUUGUUAUCUGUUCCCAUUUGUGAUGAAACUGCACCCAAAGCAAAGUCCGAUGCAUUUGUUUCCAUAAAGAAUGCUUUAAAAAAAUCAACACAAUACAAGAUUGGUGCAAAAACAAACGUUGUCUUCAAAGAUUCAAAAACAACUUCCGCUUCUUGAUUCCAUUGGAAUUUGUCUUUAUAAGUCAAAUGUGUAAGUGGAGCUACAACUCAAGAGAAGUCCUUGAUGAAGAUCUGAUAGUAGUUGGCAAAUCCCAAAAAGCAUUGGAUAUCUCUUAUUGUUUUUGGAAUCUUCUAAUCUAUAAUAGUUUAAACUUUCUUAAGAUCCAUCAUAAGUCUAUCAUUUAAAAUGAUGUAACCUAAGAAAUUGACUUGAGUAGUGUAGAAUACACACUUUUCUAUCUUGGCAUAGAGUCCUGCAUCUCUUAAUUUUUGUAACACAUGAUGAACAUGAAGUUCAUGUUCUUUUGGAUUCUUAGAAUAGAUCAAGAUGUCGUCUAGAAAACAGACUAUAAAAUCGUCCAAAAACUCUCAAAAAACAUCAUUCAUUAGAUGUUGAAAAGCUAUUGGUAUAUUUGUAAGUCUAAAAGGCAUGACGUUGUAUUCAAAAUAUCCAUACCUAGUUCGAAAUGCAGUCUUCCAUUCAUCUCUUUCUUUGAUGUGUAGUAGAUUGUAUGCUCCCCGAAGAUCUAUUUUUGUAUAGACCUUAGCUUGAUUCAGCUAAUGAAGAAGUCAAGAUAUUAAAGGUAGUGGAUACCUGUUCUUGAUGGUAAUCUUGUUGAGUCCUUGAUAAUCAACACACAUCCACAAUAAUCCAUCUUUUUUCUUCACAAAUAAAAUUGGAGCUCCUACCGGAGAUUUAGAAUGGCGUAUGAAAUUCUUGGCUAGAUUUUCUUCAAUAUAUUCCUUGAGUUCAGUCAACUCAUUUUGUGAUAAACUGUAGAUUGGUCCGAAUGGCGGUUGUGCUCUUUCUUGAAGGUCAAUUGAGCAAUCAUAGGGACGAUGUUCUGGGAGUGUAUCCGCAUUCUUUUUUUCGAAUACAUCUUGAAAUUCUUGAUAUUGGCUUGGAAUGCAACUUGAAGUCUUUCUACCAGUAAAAAUAGGUGUGGCAUAAAUAAUAUAUGGUGAUUCUUUCUUAGCAGCAUACAAGAAAGCUUUUACACCUAUAAAUACGGGUUUAAUUGAACUGGACUUAUGACUCUCUACUUGAUUAACUACACUGUUAGUUAUACUUUUAGAGAAAGUAAGAGUUCGAGAAAUCCAAUCUAUUUGAGGGUUGUAUUUCUCUAACUACAAUAAACCUAAAAUGAUUAGAUUUGAGGGAGAUCUAAUGAUAUUAAAUACUACAAAGCUAUUAUGACCAUUGAUUAUUACUUCUAUAAGAAAGAUUUCGUGAGUAAUAUCUCCAGAAGAUAAUGGACGACCAUCUAUGACUUCUACAUGAACAGGUUUAGUUUUCUUUACUAAAGAUAUGUUAUGUCUUUUAGUAAAUUCUUCAUCUAAGAAACACGCCGAGGCUCCUGAAUCUAACAAGGCAAAGGCUUUGUAAUAUUUAGGUCCUAAAAUAACAUUUAAUGUAAAACAAGGAGAGGGCUCUGAGGAGAGAAUAGGACCUUUACUAGAUGUUGUGCAAGGUUCCAGCUGUACAGUCCAUAUUGUAGUUGGACAAACUCGUUUUCUGACAUAUUGUCUUCUUUCACAGCUAUACUCCUCAUUUUGUGAUUGUGUUGUUUCUUUGGACAAUGUUGAGUAGUGUGUUUUAGUUCUCCACAAUAUAAAUAUAAUCCUUCUUGAGGACAAUGAGUCUUUUCUUGCUCAGUAAGAGGUUUAAAAUGUACUGCAUCAAUUUGCAUAUCCUCUACUUCCGAAUAUAUGUGUUGAAGAGGUGUUGGUGUUGCCAUUGAAUUAUAGUAACGUUGAGGUCCACUUGUACAGUUCUCAAAUCGAAAUUCAAAAAGGCGAUUGAUACACUUCAGAGCAAAGUCAAUCGCUUGACUCAAUGUUUGAGGAUCAGAUAAGUUGAGCAUUAAUUUUUUUACCUCAUAUUGUAAUCCAUAGAGAAAUUGGCUAAUAAGUGCAGCAUCAUCCCACUUGAUAUCAGUUUCAAGUUAUUAAAAUUGUAAAGCAUACAACGUUACUAAUCGAUUGCCUUGUCGUAAAAUAUGGAUCUUAUUGGUUGCAACACGAAUUGUAUUAUAUUUUCCAUACAUGGAUCAAAACUCCAUUAGAAAAGCCUCUAGAUUAUCCAAUAUUAGAUCUCGUCAUUUAAAAAAAGAUGAAAACUAUGAUAGUGUUGAAACUGAAAGAAGCGUACCAAUGAAUCUAACUUGCGAUCUUGGAGUUAGAUAGCUUUGGCGUUGAAGUUCAAUCAUAAGUUGCACUUGAUUGAUAAAUCCUCGAAACUUAGAUCUAAUGCCAUCAAACUUCUUGGAUAGGGUAAUUCUUGAUUCUCUAACACUGAAAGGGUAUUCUACCAUAGAAAAAAGGACAUGAUUUGUUGUAGAUGUUGAAGCAGCUCCAACCAUUUCUAUAUCUUCACUUCCUGCCAAUCUUGUUGCUUCUUGUGGUGGAUAAUUGAGUUGAUGCAUCACAAGCAUUAACUCCCUCAAUUGCUCUUGCAUUUGUAUCUUUGCACUCUUCAUUUCAACAAGUUCUGCCAUGAUAAUACUUAGAAGAGAGAAGAUGUCUAAUAUCGCUCAAGAGAAAUAGAAGAGAGGACUUGAAAACAAAGAAAAUACUAAAGACAAUAUCAGUUUAGAAGAGGGUAAUCUGUAACUUCUAAUAUGCUUAUAUCUUAUCAAGAAAAAGGAGUAAUCCACUCUUAAUUAAGAUUAGACGAAGCUCUGAUAUUGUAGGUGUAAUCUUGUCAAUCUGUCAAGGACAAGAACUCGAUGAAAAAGUAAUUCAGACAAGUGAGCCUUCACUCAAGAAAGGUAUAAAUAAACAAGUAUGUAUAUUGAAAGAGAAAGUGGAAUGGCUAUUGCCAAAAGAUAAGAAAAUUAGAGACCCUUGAAACUAGACUGGAAACAAGAAAGGAAUUGACAAGAGUGAAGAAGGCUUCACUCUUAUCUCUAUAUAUACUAUCUAAUUAGGGGCUAUGUGGCAAUGUGCUAUAGGACCUCCAAUAUGUGUUGACUUUGUAGGAUACAUGCCUUGACUUACAAGGCAAGUUUUUCUAUGUGUGGGCUACAUAGUUAGCUUGAUCUUCAAGCUAACAACAUGUGUGGCACAUGGCCAACUUGUUGACCAUGUUUCUAAUCCAAAAAGUCAAUUAAAGACACCUAUGAAGUCAAAGCAGCAUCUAUGAAGCUUCUAGGAAGCUUCUAUAUUAAAUACUAUAGAAUUAACUUAUUUUUACCUAAUUUUACUUACUUCCACCUAUUUUUAUAUGUAAUUUCUAGCUUACAUGAGUAUGUCCGUGACAAAUAUUAACAUGUACCACUCUUAUGGCUAUUACCAAGUCUACUUGUAUUAAAUUCUCCUUAUGUUAUAUUUUUAUUUUUUCUACUUCAAAAGCAAUUCUCAUUUUAUCCUAUUAAACAACAAAUAAUUGAUCUUCAAAAGAUGGAUGAAUUUAUAUUAGUUUAUUGAUAUUCUCAAAUUUUCUUAAUAAUAGCCACAUCUAUCUUAGUUAGGUUGAGUUGUAUAGCCUUAGAAUAUAUUUUUGGAUUGUUUAAUGAUUUAGCUACAAUUUGGUGUAAUAAUUAUGAAUCAAUAUACAUAGAAUUUGGUAUUUAAAGUUAGCUUCAAAAAAAAAUUAUUUAUUGGUUUUUAUGCAUUAGUAUAUAGUUUCUGAAUUUGAUUGGUAGAAAUUUUAUUAUAGAAAGUAAUGUCAAUGGCUACUACUUUAUUCUUUGUUUCUUUAUGUAUUUUAUUUUAAUUUGAGCCAUAUGUGGUUUCUUUAAUUAUCAUUGUAAUAAACAAUUUGUGCUAUAUCUUAGUCAAAAGUUCAAAUACUUAUCUUUUUAAUUAUUUUAUUGAUUGUAGUUGUUUUAUUAAAAUAAAAUUUUAGUUAGAGUAAGAUUAAGUACCUGUUGUUCUCGUUGUGUUCCAGUUUCAGUAUACCAAAGCAAUUGAACUAAUAGAGGUGGGUUCGAACAAGGAGAAAGGUUGGUUAUAUGAAUUGGGUCUGUUAGUGUCACAAUUGACUAUAUUCUGGCUAUUUGAAAUCAAGUAUCAAACUACAAAACACUGAGGCUUACUACUUCCAUCUUAAUUCAACCCAUAAUCCAUUCUACGAUUAUCAAUUCAAUAGUACUUCUCUCAAUCACAAUUCUUCAUAAGCAAAUAAUAAAAAAAACAAAGAGGUAGUACUAAACUUACCCCAGCUUACGACUCUCACAGUUUGGCCCUCAACUUAUGACUCUCACAAUCUGGCCCUCGGCUUAUGACUGUCAUAGUCUGGCCCUUGACUUACAACUCUCACAGUCUGGCCCUCGGCUUACGACUCUCACAGUCUAGCUCUCGGCUUACGACUCUCACAGUCUGGCCCUCGGCUUACGACUCUCACAGUUUGGCCCUUGGCUUAUGACUCUCACAGUCUAGCUCUUGGCUUAUGACUCUCACAAUCUGGCCCCGAUCUCUCUUUCCUCAACCUCUUUAUCCUACCAAAAAGAUGAUCCAUCGGCCAACGGAUUCCAAAGAUUAUAACCCUUUGAAUUCUUAACCAUUUAUUCCACUAACAACCUAUUGUUACCAAUUAAACUGCCUAACCAUCAAUCUAAUUCUCAAGGUUAUUAAUAAUCAACCACUAACUUAUCACAAAGUUUAUUUACCUAUUCUACAUAACCCCACUCCUAAUUGUGCAGCAUCUUCGUAAAUAUUAUUUAGCCUUAACUUAUAAAGACAUAGCAGCGUUGACUUCUUCAGUCAAUGGCGUUGGCUUACCACCCUUUGAAUUCUUGACCUUCUCCUCUAUUACAUCUUCGUCGUCUGCCUUGGUCAUUGAUGGUUCUCCAUCCAAACGCACCGUCAGAUCUUCAUGCAACAAACCCAAUUCCCAUACCUGAGACUCAAGUUGCGCAAUUUGGUUGUUACACUCCUCCAACAUCUUCUGCCAUUCUUCUGUUGGUUUCAAAGGUAUCUCCAAAGGUGUUAUCGUUGAAACUGACGUAUUGGUCUACACUAAAUUAUUGGCCUCCUUCGCUAAUGCGACUAGUUUAGUCUACAACAUCGCAACCUUUACUUGUAGCCAUUCAUGUCAUUCCUUCCAAUCGGUCUCUAUCCUUACUUUCUCAGAUAUUAUAUUCGCCAUCUUCUCUUUAACCACAAAAGAAAACUCGAUGCUUGUCAAGAGCUCCCUCCUACUUCUUACUAAGGUCCAAUCAAUUGGAUCAACUCCUUCUUUUGUAACAGAAAAUCCGUCUUGGGUUUAUGUAUAUUAAAGUUUAAGCUAAUUACCAUUGAUCCGUGUCAUAAAUUUAGUAUCCAUAAAAUCUUCCAAUUGUACUGAACCAUUUGAAAAUCAUUUAAUAACUCGAUUUGGCCCAUGCCAUUGAACUUGAAAUUUUCCUAGAAAUUUUUUAAAUCGACUAUCAGAAAAAAGUACCAAAUCAUUUGGCAUAAAAGCCUUUUGUCUAAGCUUACUAUCAUAAUAAGUCUUCCUUCGUUUUUGUGUAGUUUCCAUUAUCAUUAAUGCAUUGGCUCUAGUUUCAUCUAAUUUUUCCAAUUCUUCUAAAUGGUGCCGUAAUGAAUCCUAAUCUCUCAAUCUAGUAUCUAUAGCAAUUCAUAAACUUUGGACUUCCAAUUCAAUAGGUAAUAUUGCUUCUUCGCCAUAAACCAAUUGGAAAGGGGUAGCAUUGGUAGUAACUUUAUAUGCAGUACAGUAUGUCCAUAAAGCUGCGAAUAACUUAGUGUCCCAAUUUGUUCCUGCUCCUGAAACUAUUUUUGUUAAGAUUUUACAUAAAAUUCCAUUAGUCUUUUUUGUUUGUCCAUUGGCUCUAGGGUGAUAUGGUGUAGUCUUAUGAUGUUUUAUCUCGUAUAUAGCUGUGAGUGCUUUGAUUAUACUAUUUAUAAAAUGAGUUUCCCGAUCACUAAUCAAUUCUCAUAGACAACCAAACCGUGUAAUAAUAUUUUCAUACAAAAAGGUUGCUACUGUAAUUGCACUAUUGGUUUUCGUAGCUACGACUUUAGUCCAUUUUGUUAUGUAAUCCGUUGCUACCAGUAUAUACCGUUUUUGUCCAUUUCUCGAGCCUGGUAUAAUUGGUCCCACAAAAUCAAUUCUCCAUUUUUCAAAAGGCGCUUGAGCCAGAAUUGAUACCAAUGGCAUUGCUGAAGUUCUGGUAGGUCGACCCGUUCUCUAACAUGGAUCACAAUGAUGGACGAAUUGGUGAGCAACUGCAAACAUUGUUGGCCACCAAUAACCAGCCUAUAAAUCUUUACGAGCUGUGAUGUCCUCCGCAAAAUGUCCACCAUAAAUGUCCAAGUGGCAACUAUCCAAUAUAGUACAUACUUCAAUUUGAUAAAUACAGCGUCGCAAAACUCCAUCCUUACUUUGUUUAUAUAAAGCUUCAGCAAUCAUCGUAUAAGGUGCAUAUUUUAAUAUUAAGCGUCGUUUAAGCUUUUCAUUGAAAUUGGGUGGAAAGGUUUGAAAUGUCAAAUAUUAAAUUAUUUUACUAUUCUCCGAAGUAAUUACAUCUAUCGAAAACAGUUCCACAUCUGGUAGUACAUCGUUAAUGGAUUCAUUACCCAAAAUAUUGGAUAACCAAGAUAAAUGGUCCACAUUGGAAUGUGAUUUUCCUAGUCUUACCUGAAUAGUAAAGUCAAAUUCUUACAAGAGUAAAAUCCAUCAUGCAAUAUGACCACUCAAUUGAGGCUUAUUAAUCAUAUAUUUUAAAGCAUCAUAGUCGACAUGGAAAACAAAUUUAUAACUAAGAAGAUAAUGUCAAAACUUUUGUAUGGAAUAAAUCAUCCCCAAUGCUUCUCUUUUGGUUGUUGUAUAAUUUCUUUCAGCUGCUACCAAUUGACGACUUGCAUAAUAAAUAGGAUGAUCAAAACCCUGGUCAUCUUUCUGGCUUAGGACAAAACCAAUUGCGACAUUAGAUGCAUCCACAUAAACUUGGAAUGGUUUUGUCCAACAAGGUGCCACCAAUAUUGGUACUGAAACCAAUUUCUGUUUCAAUGUUUCGAAUGGAAUUGUACAUUCUUUUGUCCAAAAUGGACUAGUGCCAUCGAUUGGUGGUUUCUUCAAGAGAUUUAUCAAGGAAAGACAUAUAACUGCAAAUAGAUAGAUAAAUCAUCGAUAAUAACUAACAUAGCCAACAAAUACUCGAACAUCCAUAACAGUGUCUAGUUGCUUUAAUUCUACUAUAAUCUUUAUUUUAUCCGGAUUUGUAGCAAUGCUUGCCAUCGAAACUAUAUGAUCCAACAGUUUACUAGAAGGCUUAUCAAAUUGGUACUUUUUUCUAUUUAAAGAAAUUCCAUAUUUGGCACAUUGAUUCAAACAUUGAUCGAGACAUUCUAAAUGCUUGGUUCUUGUACUAAAUGUACAGAAAUCAUCUAGAAAUAUUUCCAUAGAAAUUUGUAGAUAAUCUUGGAACGCUUGUGUCAUUACCCUUUGAAAUGUAGCUUGUGUAUUACAAAGCCCAAACAGCAUAAUCUUAUAGGCAAAGGUCCUCCAAUCCGUAGUAAAAGUAGUUUUUAACUGGUUUUCUUUUACAAUCUUAACUUAAUUAUAAGCAGAGAAUCCAUCAAGAAAUGAAUAACAUUCAUGUCCAGCAACAACAUCCAAUAUACUAUCCGUGAAUGGUAAAGAAAAAUAAUCCUUCUUGAUAGCCGCAUUUAAUUUUCAAAAAUCUUGACAGAUGAGAACUUUUCCAUUCUUUUUUGGUACCAUAACAAUUGGUGAAACCCAUUCACUGAAAGGAACCAGAUAGAUAAAUCCAACCUCCAAGAGUUUAUUCAGUUCUUUUUUUAUGAUGAGUGAGUAUUUUGGAUUAAGUCGAUGUUGUCUUUCACGUACUGGUGUAGCAAUCUCCUCCAAUAUAAUUCGAUGCUCACAAACUUCAGCUGGAAUUCCUUUCAAAUUUACAUAUGACCAUGCAAAAGUAGUUUUAUGUAUUAAAAAAUAAUCCACCUAAAUUUCUUUCUUCUUACUUUUCAUAUCGUUGUAAAUCUGAAUGAUUUGGAGAGCUUCCUCUAUACCUAAAUUAAUUGGUUGACAUUGUGGAAUUUCAAGAGUUUCUAGAAUAAUGUUCUGUUCAAUUUCAGAAUCUUUCAUAAAAUUCAAUACAUUAGAACUUUUCAACUCCAGUUCAAUAUUACUAACGUGAUUAACAUCUUGUCUAUUCAUCCAAUAUGCAAUCAUAUGAUCAGAAUCGUCAAUGACAUCUGGAAGAACUAAAUACUCUCCCAAUCCCCUGUACUGAUAGUUCAUUCUAGUGUGCUCAAAAACUUGCCUUGUAUCAGCAUAAAUUAGGAUAGGUGCACUAAUUUCUUCUUCUAUAGACUCAUCUUCGCAAUCCAACGUGAAUUCUGAAUUGGCAACUUGAGUUUCUCCAUGAUAUUGGACAGGGUACAUUUGAAGCACAAUUUUAUCAUUACCUUUCUCAAUUGUCAAUGUAUCACGGUCCCAGUCAUUUCGAGCUUUAGUUUCAUACAACCACGAUUGCCCCAAUAAAAUUGGGUAUGACAGUAUAGAGCUUCGCAAUUGAAAAAUAAUAUAAUAAAUUUUGUAGGUAAUCUGUGUAAUUAUUGUAUCAAUACUUCGUAAAAUAUCCAUAGGUUUAACUCGAUUGGAGUCAGCCAUUCUCAAAAGUAUUGUAGUAGGCAAUAAGUGAUCCAAAUUCAGCUCCUCUAUUGUAGCGGCAUUCAUAAGAUAUAUACUAGAUCCUCCGUCUACUUGCACUUCUGAUAGUAACACUCCAUCAAUUGAGACAUCAAUCAUUGGUGCACCCGAAUCGGAAUUCAAACUUACUUCUCAGGUUUCUUUAUUUCAAGAUCCACGACAAAUUAAUGAGGAAUUCAAGAUAGUUCGGCACUCAGGUGCUACCGCCAAUAGUUGUUUCAUAGAGAUCAUGGAUAGUAUGGUGCCCAAGUCUUUUAGAAUAUCAUAUGGUUCUGUAUUAGUGGUAAUUUCUAAUGUCCACUUCUUCUUCCCAGUCCUAGACAUCGAUGCAGGUAAAUUGAUUUUCUCUAUAUUGAAAAUUGAUAAAGCUACUAGAAUUGAAUUUGACGGAGCUUGCAAAAUCGGUUCUUUCAAUGGCUAAGAUUGUUCUCCCAAUUGGGCUGAUAUUGGUUCCUUGGAAUUUAUGCUUCUGAGAGGAUCUUUCAACAAAAAGAAUAUUUCUCAAAAUUAUGUAGAGAAUAGAACAGCUCGACAUGGAACCGAAGCCUCCAUAAUCGGUACCUCAUUUAGGUCUUAUAUUGAGUAAAAGACCCAUGUCAAGACCUGGAUUGGAUGUCUCCAUAAUUAGGUCCAAUUGGCCCUUCGCUUCAAGAUCACCCAAAUGUUGAAUUGGUCCUUUUCUCUUUUGUUGACUUCUUGUAAGGAUAGUUUGGAGUACUUCUACCCGAUGAACUGGUGAAUCUUGAGGACCUUGAUUUAUCUCCUCCAUUUUUCCUUGGCUUUGGAUCUAUUGAUCUCGAUUAUUGAAAUUGAAUGAAGCAUUACAUUGUUGAUAAGUAUAUCUCGACUGCUUACAAUUUGUACACACUGGCCCAUAAUUGUCACUAGCUCUGGGAUUGGAACAUUCACUGGCAUAAUGACCAAUUUGUCUGCAAUAGAAACAACAAAGUGGUCUUCUUGUACCUCCAUCCGGCAUAUUAGGUGUCUUUAUCGGUAUAUACCUACUAGGCUCGUUCCAUAUAGGGUUAGAAAAUGAUCCUAGUUGUCCCAUUUGUAUGGAGGAUACUUGGUUCGAUGAUGCUAGUAGAGCAUAUUGCUGAUACCUCUGCUGCUCCUUCUCAUAGUUCUGGGGGUUUGAUGCAGACCCCUAAUUAAAAUUGGAACUUCAAAAGUUAUUGAAUGUUCGAUUUUGUCGAUUAGAUCGAUUUCCAUUCUAUCCAUACAUAUUUUCUAUUUGAACUUGAUUGACUUUUCAUUGAGUUGGUGGGAUCAUGGUCUGAUUAAUGAAUUUUUGCCUUUGUAAAUGCCAACAGUUUUGGAUAGGGUACUUUUCUCUACAAAAUGUACAUUGAAUAUCCAUUUGUUUGAGUGAUGGACAUUCCGUAUCAAAAUGACCUUGUCCCUUACAAUUAUUAUACCAUACAUUAGGUCUUGUAUUAGAAGGCUUAUGUCGUUUCUUCUUAUCUUUAGCCAAAUUCACGGCCAAUUCUUCCAUCUUCUUUGUUAGAUUUAAUAACAAGGCUUCACUUGGAUCUUUAACAGUCGUAUUUGUGAACAACUCCGAUUGUUGAUAAGUUGGCAAUGUAAAAUAAGGUCUCAUUGUUAUUGGCGCUAUUGCUUGGAGUGGUGUAGCAUUAAUUGGUUGUUGCAACAUAACAUUCUUUACAUUGGAAGCAGCCAUUUGUGGAUAAUUAUCCAUCGACACAUUUCUCGGUUGUAUUUGUUGGCUUCUUGAACUUGGAAUCAUCGUAGCCCUCACUGUUAACAAUUGAUCAUAAUGACAUUCUUCCCACACCUUUGCUCAUGCCAAUGAUGCUUCUAUCAUAUCUGGUCGAGCCUCUUUUAUAAACAUUUUUAAUUUUGGUGGAUGCAAACCGUUAAUUAAUAUCGACAAUAUAAACGCAUUUGAUAUUUGAUUAUUUGACCAUUUACGAAGUAUAUCCGUGAUUCGGCCAUAAUAGGACUCUACAGAUUCCCUCGCAAACAUCCUACUAUUCAUAAAACUUUCUCGAAGUUGAUCUUCAAAUCCAAUUAGUCUAAAAUGGAUUAUGAAGGCAUUCCUCAAGGCCUCCCAAUUGAAAAAUCUAUCCACUGCUUGCCAAAUAUAUCAUUCAAAAGCUAUAUCUUUUAAAGUUGUUAGGAACUAUUUCAACCAAAUGUCUUCAAUUCUACUAUUAUUAGUCAUAUAGGCUGUCAAGAAUUGAGAUAUAUGGUGAUCGAGAUCAGAGCCCGACCAACCACUAAAAGUAGGUAAUGGUGCCACACUUGUAGUUUGGUCUGAUACUGCUUCUAUUUAUACCACAAUUGGUACGUCUGGCUCUCCUGUGGCCAUUGGUGUUAUCACUGGUCUCCUUACUAUUUGAAUCUAAUUUUUCUUCGUUUGAUUUUUUUUGGACCUGCAAUUCCUUUUUGUCGUUCCAGUAGGAUAUUUCUUAUGCGUAAUCGCUCCUGUCUUUCUUUCACUUGUCAAUUAAUUCUUUGGUAAUCCUCCCCUUCAUGAUUAUUACUCAUAAUCUUUCAUUCUUCUCAGCAAAAUCAAUACUACCUUGAAUUAUAACUCACAUAUUUGUAAUCCUAAAACUGGUUCUUUUCACGUUCUCAUUCAACAUAUAAUUCUAUCUCCCAUACAAUCAAUUUUAAUAUUUCAUAUUGUUAUCAUUUUUCCAGCAACGGCGCUAAAAUGUUGUUCUCGUUGUGUUUAAGCUUCAGUAUACCAAAGCAAUUGAACUAAUAGAAGUAGGUUCGAACACGAGAAAAGACUGGUUAUAUGAAUUAGAUAUGUUAGUGUUAUAAUUGAUUGUAUUUUGGCUAUCUAAAAUCAAGUAUCAAACUACAAAACAUCGAGGCUUACUACUUCUAUCUUAUUUCAACCUAUAAUCCAUUCUACAAUUAUCAAUUCAACAAUACUUCUCUCAAUCACAAUUCUUCAUAAGCAAAUAAUAAAGAAAACAAAGAGGUAGCACCAAGCUUACCUCAGCUUACGACUCUCACAAUCUAGCUCUCGGCUUACGACUCUCACAAUCUCGCUCUCGGCUUAUAACUCUCACAGUUUGGCCCUCGACUUACAACUCUCACAGUCUGACCCACGGCUUACGACUCUCACAGUCUGGCCUUCGGCUUAUGACUCUCACAAUCUAUCUCUCAGCUUACGACUCUCACAGUUUGGCUCUCGACUUACGACUCUCACAGUCUCGCCCCGAUCUCUCUUUCCUCAACCUCUUUAUCCUACCAAAAAGAUGAUCCGUUGACCAACAGCUUCCAAAGGUUAUGACCCUUUGAAUUCUUAAUCAUUGAUUUUACUAACAACCUACUGUUACCAACUAAAUUGCCUAAUCAUCAGUCUAAUUCUCAAGGUUAUCAAUAAUCAACCAGUAACUUAUCACAAAGUUUAUUUACCUAUUCUACAGUAUCCCAUGUUGGAUUUAGUUCCAUUACAUGCAUUAGUUAGAGUUUUAAAUUUUUAAUCUCUUAUUUUUGUUUUUUUGUUUUUUCUUUUUUUUAAUAACAUUUAACUUUGUUGAUAUUAAGUCCUUAAUUAAAGAUAGUUGAUUUUAGAGCUAUCUUUGUAGAUAUCUAAUUAAUCUAAUAAAUUACAUGAUUUUGCUAGCAUACUUUGUCGUUAUUAGAUUACUUAUUUAGACUUAAUUAUUGAUGUAAGUUGCUUUAUAUAAGAUAUUUAUGUACCACUAAAGACUUAAUCAAUAAAUAUUCUAUUCUUUAUAUUUUUUUAUUUGUCAAAAGUUAAUUAAUAAAUAAUUUUUAGUGUUUAUAAAAUAGCUACAUUUAGAGAAUUUUAUAGCCUUAAGCUAGAUAUUUCAAAUAUAAGUUUUUUUAUAAUUAUCUUAGAGACACCUUAUUUUGUCUACAUAUAUUUGUAAAAAAAUAUAAUUUAAAUUUAAAUUUUAUUAUAAUAAAUUCAAAUUAAAAGUUUAAUUUUAGUGAGAUAUAGUUCUAUUUUUGCUACUUUAUUUGUUAUACAUUGUUCCUUAAUCGAAUUUGUAUUUGCUUCUUCAAUAAAUUACUAAAACAACUUAAUAAUAUUAUCUUCAAAUAUAAAAUAAAUAAAUAAAUAUGAAUAUUUUUAUAAAAUUUUAUAUUUUUAUAGUUUUAUAGUUUUUUGAAUAUUUAGUAUAUAUAUAUAUAUAUAUAUAUAUAUAUAUAUAUAUAUAUAUAUAUAUAUAUAUAUAUCUUAGAUUUUUAUUAUCAAUUAUAGGUGAAUUUAAUAAUAGAAUAAUUAAAUAAUGAUAUAAAGUUGAUUUUAAAUUUUUAUUUGAAUAAAAUAGAUUAAAUUAUUGUAUAUCUUGUGACAUAUUAUUAAUCUAUUAUUACCUAUGAUUAUUAUACGAAAAAAUUGGAUUUCCUUGAAACUUACUUUUUUCAUAUUUUUUUAGCCAUAGGAAAUUUAAGUUUAAUUAAUUGAAAUGCAUAAAGAUUUUUAUAUCAAUUUUUUUAAACUCUAAAUAAUAGUGAAGUCUUGCAUAGUGAUAGCAUUUAGAUUUCAAGAAGAUUCAUUUCUAUUUUAAAGAAAAUAAUAGUUAUUUAAGAUAAAUAAUUAAAAUUAUUUUUGAAAAUUAAAAUUUAUUUAUUUUUUCAUAAGAUUAGUUAUUUUAAAAAAACCUCUAUGUAGACAUCUUCCUUUUAGUAUAUGAACACUUAUUUGUGCCAUACUAAUAUUAUAUUUUUGCUACAAGUUUUUAAUAAAUUAGACACUAAUGUAGUUAAAAGAUACAAAAACAACACUAAUCCAAAACACAUAAACAUUAGUAACCUUGAAAUUGAUCAAAGUAAACAAAACAAACAAUAAAAGAUGAUCAUCUGCCUAACAAAACUACUAUGUAAACACGUUAUUUUAUAUAUUUACUUUGUUUAGCUUUUGUAAUGUUAAUUUUCUUUUAUUAUAGAUUGUAGGUUGUUGUUUUUGUUGUUUUUGUUGUUUUUGUUGUUUUUUGUUGUUUUUAUACCUUUCAACUUCAUUAAUAUUUAAAUUAUUAAAAAGCUUAUAUUAGUAGUAUAUUCUUGAUGUAGCAUAGAAAAAUACCUAUGUAAUUAAAAAAUAAUGUUUAUUUAAUAAUUUCCUAUUUUUAAAAGUAAUUUGUAAUGUCUUCUUAUCAAAGACAUGAACCUCAAAAACUAAAAAGUCAAUACAAUCUUUUGUCACUCAAAGAGACUAAAAAAUCAUUCAAAGAUGAUAUAGUAUUAAAUUAAAAUAGCUAUUGCCAAAGACAAUAAGACUAGAAAAUCUCAAAACAAAACUAAGAACUAGAAAGACAUUGACAAGAGUGAAGUGGACUUCACUCUUACCUCUAUAUAUACUAUCUAAUUAGAAGCUCCAUGGUGACAUUCUAUAGAACCUCCGACAUGUAUUGACUUUGCUAGAUACAUGUCUUAACUUGCAAGGCAAGUUUUUUAUAUGCAAGCCACAUAGUUAGCUUAUUCUACAAGUUACCAAGAUAUAUAAUAUGUGAUUAAUUUGUUGAUCAAGUUUUUAACCUACUAAUUAACUUCAAACAUGCAUAAAAUCAAAACAAUGUCUAUCAAGCUUCUAUGAAGUUUUUCUAAAAGAUAUUACAAAAUCAAUCUAUAUUUAUCUACUUCUACUUAAUCAUAUAGGUAAUUAUUGGAAUAAAUACAUAUGUCUAUGAUAUUAUCUUCUCUUUAAUAGACAAGUUCUACAAUGAGAGAUCAUCAUCUUUUAUGGAUCUUGCUAUUCUUCAUCUUAGCUUUGAUAGAUAUCAUCAAUGAAAAGCAUCAACUCACUUUGCUAUAUUUACAAGAUUUUUUAUUGGUUCCUAUGUGCAUUUACUAAAAUCAUAUCUAUACUAAUAAAUAAGAUAUUUCAACCUAUUAUGAUGCCACCUUGAAUUUAAGACUUCUUCUACCUCAAACUCUUAAUCAUUAUCUACUUCUAUAAGAAGUAAUAGUAUUUAUCUUGUUUCCAAGAUAUUCAUUGUCUUACAUGGCGCAAGAAAAGAUAUAUGGAAUAUGAGAUGGAUCUUCAUAAACUUCAAUAGAUUCAAUCAAUAAGCAACAAGAUUGACUUGUUCACAAAUAUGAAAAGUUCAAAGCCUAAGUUAGUCCAACUUGUUACAAAGAUGAAUACUCUUAAUAUUGCAACAAAGUAAUUAUACCUUGUCACGUAUAUUAAAAUAUGAUUGUUCUUUAUAAUAGGCAUUUGCAUUAAUCUUUUAUUGUUUUUGAGCUUCUUUUAAUUGUGCCUUCAUUAUUACAUAUAAUUCCAAUAAACAAUUUAUUAAAUCUUUUGCCACAAGAUUGUUGACUUUUGAAAAGUCAAAAGUAUCAAAUUGAAGAUAAUAAUAAUAAUAAUUGGCAAAAAAAAUGUUUGUUGAAUAGAAGAAUAUAUCAAAUUUUUGUAUGCAAACUCUACCAAUGGCAAAAGAAUUAUCUAAUCAUCUUAAAGAUAAUUAUUUGUACACCUCAAAUACUACUUCAAAACUUAAUUUUUUUGUUCCAUUUGUCUAUCAGUUUAAUGAUAAAAAGCCAUAGAGAAUUUUAUAUCCACCUUUAAAAUCUUGAAAAGGGUGUUCCAAAAUCUUCAUAGAAAUUGAGUCCUUCUAUUUAAUCUAAUAUCCUUGGAUAAUCCAUCAUAAUGAUAGAUAUUAUUAAAAAAAAGUUUAGUCGUUUCUUUACUUAAGAUAGAUUUUGUACAUGAUACAAAAUGUACCAUCUUAAUAAAAUAAUCUACUAUCACAAAUAUAGAAUCAUAUAAACCUAAAACUAGAAGAUCUAUGAUAAAAUCCAUAGAAAUAAAAGACUAUGAUUUUUUUAGAAUAAGUAAUAGUUGAAGAAGUUCAUAAGGUCGAUGACGAGGAGUUUUGAAUUUUGAACAAAUAUCACAUGAUUAUACAAAGUCUUUAACUACCUUCCACAUUUGAGGCCACCAAAAAUCUCUAAAUAUUACCUCCCAAAGUCUUAUUAUAUCUAAAAUAUUUGAUUGUUGGAAAGUCAUGAUGAGCUUGAAAAAUAUUUAAUUAUGCUUUGCAUUUUGAAAUAUAUAAUUGUCCCUCAAAACAGAAUAUAUUAUUCUUAAAUUUGAAUUUAGAAGAAUCAUGAGACUUAAAAGAAUUAUUUUUUAAUAUCUUAAAGAGGAAGAUUGGAAGACAUACUUGAUUGAACUUAUUUGAGAAAGAUUGAAUCAAUAGUCAAUAUUGAUUUUAUUUCUCAAAAGUGAAAAUGCUCCAACUUCAAAAAAUAAAAUAAAAUAAAAUAAAAUAAAUAUUGAUCAAAAGAUGCAUACUUUUUUUUUUGUACAAGAUAAGAAUUUCUAGAAAGGACAUUUGCUCCAAUAAGCUUGGCAAUGUUUCAAAACACGUGCCAAUAUGAAGUAUUUGAGAUUCUUGUAAUCUGUAUAUAUAAUAAGUAGACUCAAGGUGCUUUUUAAAUAAUAUUUUUAUUCUUAAAAUGAAUCCAUGAUUAUAAGAAGUUCAUUAUUAUAGAUUUCAUAGUUAAUCUCAACUGCUAAAAAAUUUCUAAAAUAAAAAUCUACCAAAUAGAAUUUAUCAUCUAUUCUCAUUUGUGAUAAAAUAGCACUUAUACUAAAAUCUAAUGUAUUUAUUUCUAUAAAGAAUGCCUUAAAAAAAUCAAUUAUAUGCAUAUAAUCUUACAUCUCUAAAUUUUUGUAAUACAAGAUAAAUAUAAAGUUUAUGUUCUUUUGUGUUCUUAUAGAAGAUUAGUAUGUUGUAUAAAUAAUAGAUAACAAAAUCAUCAAAAAACAUUUUAAAAAAAGUCAUUUAUGAGAUGCUAAAAAGUAAUUGUUGCAUUUAUGAAAUCAAAAAGCAUGAUAUUAUAUUCAAAAUGUCUAUACUUAACUUGAAAAGUAGUAUUCUAUUCAUUUUUUUUAUGCAAACUAGGUUGUAUGCUCCUUAUAGAUCUAUUUUUAUAUAGAUCUUUAUUUGAUUGAAUUAGUUAAAAAGUCCUAAAAUUAGAGAUAAGAAAUAUCUAUUUCAAAUGAUGAUCUUUUUAAGUCCUUGAUAGAAUAUUUAUAAAUAAGAUAAGAGCUCCUAUUGGAGAUUUUGAAUGGUGUAUGAAGUCCUUAGCUAAGUUCUUGUCAAUGUAUUCUUUUAGUUCAAUCAAUUCAUUUUGCAAUAAGCCAUAGAUUGGUCUGAAUGGUAGUUAAGUUCUUUCUUGCAAAUCAAUUGAAUAAUCAUAAGAUCAAUUCUCUAGAAGAAUAUUUGCAUUCUUCUUUUCAAAAAUCUCUUAGAAAACUUGAUACUAGCUAGGAAUAUUACUUAACAACUUUCUACCAUCAAAAAUAGGCAUGGUACAUAUAAUCCUUCUUUUGCCAUAAUAAUGCAAGCUUUUGCAUAUAGCAAUAAGGAUUUGGAUAUAUUAGACUUAUGUAUUUUUACUUUAUCAACCAAAUUUUUGAUCAAACUAUAAGAAAAAAUAAGAUUACAAGAAAUCUAAUCUAUUUGAGAGUUAUACUUUUUUAACUACAAUAAUCUUAAAAGAAUUGGAUUGAAAAGAGAUCUUAGUACAUUAAAUAUUACUAUAUUAUUUUGAUCUUUAAUUGCUACAUUUAAAAGAACAAUUUCAUAAGAAACAUCUCCAAAAGAUAGCAAACGACCAUCUAUGACUUUUACAUGUAUGGGUUUAGUUUUCUAAACUAAAAAUAUCUCUUAUUUUUUUAACAAAGUCUUUGUCUAAAAAAUAGGCUGAGGCUCUUAAAUCUAACAAGUCUAAGACUUUGUAAUUUUUUUGGUCCUAAAUGAAUUUCUAUUAUGAAACAAGGUGAGGGAUUUGAAGAGAGAAUAAGAUCUUUAAUAGGUAUUAUGCAAGAUUCUAUUUGCACAGUCCCUAUUAUAUUUGGAGAACUUGUUUUCUACCAUAUCAUCUUCUUUGGCAACCAUACUCGUCAUUUUAUGAUUGCAUUAUUUUUUAAGACAAUGUUGAAUAAUAUUCUUGGAUUCUCCAUAGUAUAGGCACAAAUCUUCUUGACGACAACAAGUCUUUUUUUGAUUAGAAAGAGGUUUAAAAUAUAUUGUGUCAAUUUACAUAGGCUCUAGCUUGAAUAAGUAAGCUUUCAAAAACUUAGAAAGUGUUGCUAUGACUUGACUUGUAUUUCUUCAACCAAACCUUUAUUCUUGUCAUCUUUCAAAGAAUCGAUUAUUUUAUGUAAUGAAUUGAGUAAUAAAUUGCUCCAAUGAAUCUGUUCUUGGCAUUAUUAAUAAUAAAUCUGUUCUUGGCAUUAUUAACAAUAAAUCUUUGAUAUUAUCUUUUAACUCAUAUCAAAAUUGAUUGAUAAAAGCUUUGUCAUUCCAAUCCAUGUCACAAGCAAGAUUUUGGAAUUUAGCAACAUAUGUGGUAGUUAAACAUAAUCUUUGUCACAACAAUAGAAGCUUGGUUUCUACUACCCUUUUUCAAUAACUUUUUCCAAAUAUAAUUGUAAAUACUUUCAAGAAUGAAUUAAAAACAUAGAAUAGUUGUGAAUCUUUUUCCAUUAAAGGUGCAAACCAAGAGAGAAUACUUCUUGAUAAAAAUGCAUUUAUGAAUCCAACUUGAGUAAAUCCAUCAAGAUAUUGGAAAAGAUAUAAUCUUAAAUAGAGCUCAAUUUGUUGCAAAAAUCUUUAAAAUUUUGUUCUUAUUCCAUUAAACUUCUCAGACAUACUAAUUCUUAUUUCUCUUAUAUUGAUAGAAGCAAGAUUUCUUAAAUUUUGGUUGUGAGGCUAAUCUACUUGCUUCUUUCAAGUACACAAUUUCUUAGUAUAGAUUCUAAACUUCUUCUAUUUGUGUAGGAAUAAUACCUCUAUAAUUUAUGUUAAAAAUACACGAGAUUUUUAUUUUUAGACUAUUGACAAGCUCAUAAAGAUCUAAAAUAGUUACAAAUCUAUUCUCAUUUCCAUUAAAAGUAGCAUCUAUAAUCUUUUCUUUUAUAGAUAACUCAAAAUUAAAUUAAAUUAGAGGAUGAUAAUUUGUAACUAAAAAUUAAAGAAUCAUUAUUAAAAAACUAAAUUGUUUAUUUAAAAGUAGGUAAUUUGUAACCUUCAAAAUAAAAAAUAGAAGUAGAAUAAUUCACUUACUUCUAAAAUAAGAUAAGAAUAAUAAAUUAGCAUUCUUGUUAAACUAUCAAAGAUAUGAAUCUAAAAGAACUAAAAGGUCAAUAUAUUCUUUGGUCACUCAAAAAGACUAAAAAAUCAUUCAAAGAUGAUAUAGUAUUAAAUUAAAAUAGCUAUUGCCAAAGACAAUAAGACUAGAAAACCUUAAAACAAGACUAAGGACUAAAAAUACAUUGACAAGAGUGAAGAAGGCUUCAUUCUUGCCUCUAUAUAUACAAUCUUACUAGAAGCUACAUGGCAAUAUUCUAUAGAACCUCUAACAUGUGCUGACUUUGUUAGAUACAUGUCUUAACUUGCAAGGCAAGUUUUUCUAUAUAUGUGCCACAUAGUUAGCUUGUUCCACAAGUUACCAACAUAUAUGACAUAUGGUAAACUUGUUGAUCAAGUUUUUAAUCUAUCAAUUAAUUAUAAACAUGUGUAAAGUCAAAAUCACAUCUAUAAAGCUUCUAUGAAGCUUUUCUAAAAGAUAUUAUGAAAUUAAUCUAUAUUUACCUACUUCCAUCUAAUUGUAUAAGUAAUUAUUGGUAUAAAUAUGUAUAUGUGUGAUACUUCUAAGCUAUUUUAAGAAUACAAAAGCAAAAAUUCAAAUUAUUUUUUAUUAUUUUCAAGUAAUAUCUAUAGCUUGGCUACAAUACUACUUAUUAUUUCAAAUUUAUUAGGCAAUUAGAUUUUCUAGAUUAGAAUCUUAAUUUUAGAAUUGUAAAAAAUUCAAAGCAUAGAGAUCAAAAAUUGGAAUUUAUUCUAAUAUACUACAAAUUACAGAGGUGAUUUUGUAAAGUUUUAAUAAUCAAAGUUUAUUUAUUAAGAAACUUUAUAUCAAAUUUUAAUAUAUAUAUAUAUAUAGAGAGAGAGAGAGAGAGAGAGAGAGAUGGUACAUCGAGUUGUUACAUCCUCAUUACAUCUGUUCUAUACUGACACCGCUGGAAUGUCGGUAUCGGUGAGUUGAGGUAUCACAUCCCCAUGAACUCAGGACGUCUCACGGAUUCUCCUCACAGCUUAGGCUUCCGAACAUGCUUUCGUACUGGACAUGGAUGGGUCCUUACGUCUUCGGUGCUAGGCUACUUCGAUGAUGAGCGCCACUGUGUCGCUUAUAAGAUCCAGUAACUCAAUAGGUUUCAUGAGUUGUUCGGUAGCAUCGUGCCUUGUAACUUCGUUACACAUGUGAUAACGUUGAUUCUGGGUACCUGCAAGUGUCUAGAGCCGGUUAAUUUCGUGCAUCUAGUCCCUGACAACUUCAAACAAGUGUUUUUUUUCUUUUCUUCUUCUUCUUCGUCUUCUAGUGUGAAGAUUGUUGGAGCGCUCUGGAACGCUUGCAGCUUCUCCGUGACCGAACCAUCUGCUUCACAAAAGUGAAGUUGGAAGUCCUGUUUCUGGAGUCAAGUCCCUUGACAGCAGAUAGGCUUGAUAUCCUUCCUGUUCGCAGUUUCAAUGUCAGAGCCACGUUGCACAGGUUCCUCUACUGUAGUCGAGGUUGUCAGUGUAGUUGCUGAAGUCACAUAGCCACCACCCAGCGUUUGGUAAAGACAACAGUCUUCUCUGAAAAACUGUUGUCUUCUCUAAACGCUGUCUCAUCUGCCUAUCAUUUCCGAAGCACGGAGUCUGCGUCGUGCCGAGGGAGGACAGGAUUUCUCCUAUCCUUAAACAAAUCAAGUUGAAGAGGUUCUGCACAUGGGUUGAUGUGCGCGUAACUUAAUAGUAAUGAUCCUCAAGGCUAUCUUCUGGUUCCAAGUGCAGCUUCCAGAGUUUCGAAGCAGGAUUAACUCUGAGCAAUACCGAUUCGUCAAACAUCACCAGAAUCGAAGCACGACGCAGCUGUAGAAAUUUCCUUACACCUAGCCGCUCUAAAUAAGGUUCAGUGUGGUUAACUUAACAAUCACACAAGGGCAUUUCAAGAUGGAUUAAGAGAUCUUCACAAUUAACGAUCCAUGUUUGCUACACAACACAAUGCGACAAGCGUGGAAGAAAGAUCUUGCGCAGGUCGAAGGGGAGACGAGCAGCUGGGCAUCGCAAUCUGCAUCAUCCAGGGCAGUCGUCCAAGAGUUGGAUGAACGAAGGACCAUUGGAUUUGUUUGUCCAUUAACAGUGCUUGAGUUUCUUUGUCGUGUAAUUGUUUUAAGUAUGUGGUCUCAAGUCUGCAUUAUGUGAUGUUCCCUUCGAUGAUGCGGUGAUGUGCUAUUAUGGGUUUCUCACUGGUCGAAUGUUUUCUUUUUGUGUUCGUGUGCGUGCAUUAGGCUGCUAGUUGAGACAGUAGUUACGAGCCAGUUGAGGAGGCUUGUAUGUUUUCAAACUGUUUGGACUAAUAGCCAUGGCUAACUUGACUAGGUCGAUUGAUGUAGAAAUUUGUGUCCAAGGUCGCGGUCUUACACAUUUUCCGAAGCAGGAAGGGCAGAGUCGCGACAAUCCACACGGUGUUUUUGGAGCUGGAUUAGACAUAAACUUUAGCUGGCUGCUAUUGGAAGUCUUCAUGGACUCUUGAAGUUCGGUGAGAGACAUCAGUCGCGUUCUUUUACAAUCGUUGUCAUAACUUCUUAUCUGCUUUGGUGGCUGCUCAUUUUCCCAUUCCGAUGCUUAAUUAGUUUCACACAAUUCCCGAGAGUCACCAGUAUGAAGUUGGCUUACAUUGUCUGCACUGUGUUGUCUUUCAAAGAUUGAGAAUGUGGACGCUGUGAGAACAAAGGUAGUCAAAUGUGGGCUCUAGAAUGUUUUCUCCAGCACCAUGUGAAGCUUGGCGUUGCCCAAAUUAAGCUGUCCCUCAAGUAUUGACAGCAUUUUCUUUUUCCAAUGAUUUUGUGCUGUUCAUCCCCCUGGCCUAUUCGCCAUGAGACUUGGCAAAGAUGCCGUCAGGUGAUGGACACAACUUGCUCCUGUACACGGUCUCCAAGUCCUAGAUAUUCUUCGUGUAACAGCUUGUGGUUAUUGUGUUGGUUCUUUCCACGUGUGUUCAACAUCUAUUACUAUUCAUUGAUACACUUUGCGAUUUCCUCAAAGGCAACUUCGUCUAAAUUGUGAUUUGCUGUGAUUUUGUGAGCCAUAAUUUGUAAAUCGAAGAAUUUGCUUCUAAACUCCAAUGAUUGUACUUAGAAUUAAUACCUGCUUCAUAGAUACCAGCUUAAGGUUUGUUUCUUCUCAUUUUUCAAACGUUAUUUCUUCCGGAACUUCUCGCUGGUUUUUUUCCACAACGCGCCAGCAUUCGACGAAAUGUAAACCUCUGUCGUGUGGGCAUCAGAUUCUUGGUCAAGCCUGGGACGUUCGGUUGAUGAUUCAAAUGAAUGGUCGCGAUGUGUAUAUUCAGCCAUCCUCUACAUGGAUUUCCUUUAAGGGCCUGUUUAGAAGUCUUUCGGCCUUGACAUGUGUAUGUUGAUCAAGUGCCUGCAAGAAACGUAGCGAUUUUUUGUAGUUGUGUUGAGCUUGGGAUGAAUCUUGAAGUGCUCGAAUGUAGUUUUAUGAGAUUGAUAAAACUACCUUGCAAGUGCUUUCGCAAUCUUGAGGACAUCCUGGUUGUAAUGGUUUUCUUUUGGUUAGUGUGAAUAUAACGUGACAUUUUAAGCUAAUGUUUAGCAGUGCAAUUUCCAAAGUCAUCCUGAGCCCUAUUAGUGGUUAUCAUACUCCCAGUAAGGGCCUAAAUUAUUUUUAGAUUUUAAAUUGGUCUGAUUAUGUACAUGAUUUGCCAGGCCUGUGGAGGGAUCCAAGCUUUGCUGUGGGAUUUGCUUCCAAGUAUGCAAUGAGCUCCCGAUACCCUCAGCUAUAUAUCAGUGAACUGUUGCUUAUAUCAUCAUUCAGUUUUGCAUUUUAUCUGCAUGCAAGGUCAGUUGGCAACAGCAGCAAUCGUCUUCAGAUCCAGAUAAGCCUCUCCACACACACCACCUAUCUGCUCAUUGGAACAUUCUGCAUUUUGCAACACGCAAUGGUAUCGUCAGUAGAUAUGGUACCACAGCUCUCUGCACGGUUCUUAGAACCUUCGCACACAAAUCAAGAUUGAUGCAAAAACUUUUGAGAAUAUUAACGAAAAUUCUUGCCGGUUCUUUCUUGAACCCCCUUGACCUCAGCCUCCGACAUCCAAAGUGGAAAGGGUUUUCAACAAGUCACUGCACACACACCCCCCCCCCCCUCCUGGUCGAACAGUUGUUGCUAAUCAUGUAUCUCAGUGGCUCCUCUUCUCCAGUUCGUGGGCAAAAAGUUUUCCAUCAUGUUGUCAGUUGUUAGAAUGCCGACUGCACACAACUGGGUGAAAGCCCACAUGAUAUUGACUUGUAUCGAGUUGCAUUGAAUCAUGAACAGAGAAACAUCCGCAACAAGAGGGAACCUCGUGGGGAUCUCCCUGUGGGACAGCCUUGGCUGUUUGAUGGGCAGUGUCCAAGGCAGCUACCACUUGUCAACAAAAAAAAGGGAACGAAGCUCAUGGCGUACUCUACUACCAGACAAUAGACUGGUCCAAAGCUGGCCAUGACCAGCUUCUGCUUCGAUUUUGCCUCCUUGGUAUCCGAGGUUUGAGAAGCAAAACCAAAGUUCUACGCAACAAAUAUGAUUCAGGCCUUAUUCCCAGAACCUGGUAUGUGUCUUACUCCUCCAAACACUCUUUUUAGUAAACAUUUCUCUGCAACCUGUUUACUGAUCCUUGAAUAUGAUAUUGAGCGUUGGUAUCCAAGUGUGUUUCAACUUAACCGCGUUAGAUCUUCUCUAAUUCUUUCUUAAUGGGGGAAAUGAGAAGAAAAGAAAGGAAAAAAUGUUUGUAGCAUUUGGAGUAGUUCAAGUGCCAGCAGGUUGCUUCUGUCUGUGUCAGGAAAAAAAGAGAGUGUAUACAUUGGCUUUUAUUCAAUUUGGAAACAAAAAAAUAAAAUAAAAUAAAAGCUUUGGUGAUCGGGGAUCAGAGGUCGGUUUGAAUCAUUGAUUUGUGUCAUAUAUAUAUAUAUAUAUAUAUAUGUAAGUUUUUGGUUAUUGAAUCAUAAGAUGGUGCAUUCCUUCCCUAAAACUGUCUGAAGUGUAUCAGAUCAUUUUUUACUUAUUCAUUAAUUUUUUAUAUCCAUGGAGUAUUUGUUAGUUGCUGCAUGCAGUUAGGAUUUUAUUUUCAUUGUUUUCUUGUGGGUGUAAUAGUGAUUGAUUAAAGAAUGUGGUGUUUCACCUCAGGCCAAAAAAAGACCUAAAUGUCCCAAUGAAGGUUUUCAAUAUUAACUAUAUUCCAUUCUUUCUAUGUGGUUUGAAUUAAUCUUUAUUUUAGCUUUGUUCAUUUCUUAUUACGGUAUCUCGUUUGUUAGUGGCUAAAAUGUAAUUAUAAAAUCUGUUUUCUUUAUUCAUUACACCUUUUAUUUUUAAUAAUCUUAUAUACUAUCUUAAUAAUUUUUUGAACAUUUUUGGGUUGUUGAUAUUGCAUUCCUAAGUUGUGUGCAAAUACUAUCACUUGUGUUCAAAAACAAUUGCUUAUUAGACUAGUAAUAAAUAUAUACAUAAUGAAUGAUCUUUAAAAUAUCUUCAAUAAGAUAUCAAUUAUGAUUAAGUACAAAAGAAUAGAAUGUUUUAAUUCAAUACUUUAAUACAAGAAAACACUUACAAGAAAACACUAACAAGAUUAAGAAUGGCUUUAAUCUUUUCUCUAGUGUACUAAUCAUGUGAAAAAAAUCAUAAAAAUUAUAACAUAUGUAUGUCAAGUAUCUAAAUUGCAUAAUUCUUUUAUAGUAGGUAUUUUGGAGUAAAAAGUUUUUAAAAGAAAUUAUUGUCACUAUAUUAUACAUCUAAGAAGUUAUUCAUUGAAUUAAAUGAAGAUAUUGUCUACCUAAUCUAUUUUUAUUAUCUUCUAUUUACUUAAAUUUACAUACACUUGUUAAAUAUAUUAUAUAUUUUUAAAUAUUUAAAUUUAUGUUUUUAAAAAAUAUAUUGAUUUAUUAAAAUAAAAAUAUAUAAUCACAUUAAAGAUAAAAAUUAUGCUUUUUAAAUCUAUUAAAAAAAACAUGAUUAUUUUUUAAUAAUAAAUAUAUAUAUUUUUAAUAUGUAUUUAUUUUUACAUACAUCAAUUAAUUUUAUUAUCUUAUAUCAAAGUAAUCGGAAUUAUAAUAUAUUAAAUUAAAAAUAAAUUAUCUCUAAUAUUAACAACACUUGAUUAAAAAGCUAAUUUAAUAUUUAUAUAUAUAUAUAUAUAUAUAUAUAUAUAUUAUAUAGACUACAAUUGUCGCAAAUACACUAUAUAGAAGAUUGAACAAGAAGUUAAACAAAAGAGUUUCAACAUGAAAGCUAGCAUGAACUUGAUUAAACUAGAUGAGUACAAGAUCAACACCAAGAGAGUUGAGCUAGAAUUCUAAGACAUAAAAAAUAUUAAAAUUUUAAUUUGAUCUUAAAAUUAAAAUAUAAUUCAUAUAUAAACAAUAUUUCAAAUUUUGAUAAGUUUAAUGCUUGUAAAACGAUAUUUCAAAUUUUAUUUGUAAAAAUAAAUAAAUAUUUCUACAAAUUUAAAUUCUGUGAGAAAAUUUUAAAUUAUAUAUAUAUAUAUAUAUAUAUAUACACUAAAAAAUUGAUAAAAUAUUACAAAAUACUUCAUAAGAAAAUCUAAAUUAUAAAUAUGAUAAUUGAUAAACAAAAAAAAAAUUAAAAUAUCUUUAAAAACCAACAUAUAUCAUGUCAUGCAAUAAUCCAUGCAUGUAUAACUAAAAAUAUAUAAAAAUACAUGAAAAACUUACAUAUAAUUAUUAAGAUUUAUUUCUUUUUUUAGUUAUUAUACAUUUUGUAUUUAAAAAUAAUAAAUAUAUAUAUGCAUACACAUGCUUCUACAAAAGUUUAAUAUGAUUUUUGUGCAUUACAUUAGUGUAUAUGCUAUUAUUGUCAAACAGGCUUAUAAAAAAUAGAAAAAAUAUAUAUAUUAUUAAUUUUUUUAAAAUUAUGAUUUAUAAAUAUGAAAUCUAUAAAACAAAAUUUAUAUAUAUGAAGCUAUUGCAUUUUUAAUGAAUACUAACUACUAUUAAUAGUAAUAUAUAUUCACUUUGUAUAAUACAUUCUAAUCUCUUUAAAAUACAAAUACAAUAAUUUAUUUUAUUAAAUAAUUUUAAAUACUGAAUUUUUUUAAUCUAUUAAUUUUUGACGGGAUAUGAAUAAAAGCGUUUAAAAUUUUGUGAUUAAAUCCAUUUGAUUUCAUGAAGUAUUAUUUUUAGGCUAAUUUUGUAUUAAAAUUUGUGCUACAUUUAUUUAAAUCGUCUUAUGUCAUAAAACAAUGUAACAACUUAGAGACGAGCCUGUUUGUUGGUAAAAGUUAACCAAUCAAAAAGUAAUCAGAAUAAAUAAAAAUAAUUGGAUGGAUUUUUAGAGUUUGAAUUUCGGUUUGAAAUAAAAAGACUCAAAACUUUUGUGAAGUAAAUACACGAGGAAUAAAGUUCAAAAUGUAUUCUAAUCAAGUAACUAUUAAAAACACACAGAAUAACAUAAUAAAGAAAAAACAUCUAAAAGCCAUAAUGACAUGAACAUGAGCAUGCGUUGACAACUCACAACCUACAAUACAAGCAAAUAUAGAACCAAACAAUAGUUUUUAUAUAUUAUUAUUUUUUUGUGGCAUAUUGUGGCCCUUUAAUAUAUGCACAUCUUCAAUGCAUUUAUGUACCCACAUGUCUACUAAUAAUGACCCUGUGAUCAUUCGUGCGUUUGAAACGAAUCACCCAUAUAAUACAAUAAUAAUAAUAAUAAUAAUCAUACAAAAGAUUUUCAAAACAUGAAAUCAUACAUGAAUUCAAGCAUAUACAAGAAAAGAGAAUUUAAAAAACGGAUAUUUCUAUUAAAAGCAACAAAUGUACACGAGAAAGAAUCAUCCCAUCGCAUUGGAAGUCACGCCCAUCGGGUCCACAAGUGCUAAUAAAAACACGCAUAUGUAUAUAUAUAUAUAUAUAUAUAUAUAUAUGUAUAUAACUAUCUAAACACAUCUAAAUAUAAAUAUAAAUAUAUAUAAAUGUGUAAACUUGGUGCAUCUUUCCCAAGUCCCGAGGGGCCUAAGGAGAUAGAGAUAGAGAGAGAGAAAAAUGGUUUUAAUGAAUGAGGUGCUUUGGAGAGAUCCAAUCACAUUGACCACCAUUAAAAGUAAAAAUGAUAUUAAUGUUAAAAGUAAUAAUAACAAUAAUAAUAAAGAUUAUUUAAAAGUCAAACAUUUGAAGGCCAUUUCUACUUCCGACCCAGUGUCCACGCUGGACUCACUCUUUCAAAGAAGCUUCCGUGGCAACGGCUCCAUCAGGUUCCACGAAAUUGUGUGACAGGAGGUCAAACUUCGUGACUAGUGGUCAACUUCAAAGGAUUGUUUGGGUGGGUAAUUUGGUUUCCUGAAAGGAAAAGAAAGGGGACAGGUAAAAGAAAAAGUGAACACGGAAAAGAAAAAGUGAAAAGGUUUCUUCUCAUUCCUUUUUCAUGAAAACAACCUUGGCGAUCAGUUUACUAAACCAUAGUGAACAUUGGAUUUUAUAUCACAAUAGAUUGAACAUAAAAUUUCAAUGGCUUCCUAUGCAAUUGUGUCAUUCCUAUGCUAAUACUUUCUUGGUGAGCAUAAAAUAUUUUGUAGAUAGCAUUGCAAAUAUCAAAGCUUGACAAGAUAUUACUGCUAGUAUUAUUUUGAAAACUUGCACAUGCAAAUAUCAUUAAAAGUUAAUAAAUAAUGAUGCAAAAUCUUAGAAAGUUGUGUUUUGAAGUGUUGUGUGGAUGCUUUUUAAUUUAAGAACAUGCCUAUUUCCCCAUGAGUCACCUAAAAAACAUUUAAACUGUAUUGGGACUUUGACAAAAGAAAUUGCCUUUUGAAUAUAACAAGAUUACAACAAGAUAUUGAAAUUUGGAAUGGGUUAGAUCAAAGAUUGUCAAGUAAUAAUAUGUUGGUUCAUUUAAUAUUUUUUCACAUUUUACUAUUAAUUUGCAUGUUAAUGGAUUAUAAAUUUGUAGCAUGUAUAAGUUUGUCCAUAAUACAUCAAACAAGUUUUUUGAAUUAAGCAAAUUUUUAAUAUUUUCCCCCAGAAAGGCCCACAGCUUCCUCACAAGUGUAAAACAACCAAAAAUUCCAUACACCAUUGGGAGCAUUAAACCUGUAAAUCCUCAAACAAUAGCACUUGUUUUUUCUCUCUUUCUUUUGAAACAAAUAAUUUAACAAGGAAAAUUUCUUUCCAAAUAUAAUUCUUGAUUCUAUAUCUCUAUAUGUAUAUCACAUUCUUGUUGGAAAAAAAGUAUUGUUGAGUUUGACCAACCCACAAAGUGUAGAUAGUUAUAAGUAAUUGCUUUGAUUUAAGAAAUUUGAGUUUCAUAAAUUCCACAUUCAAAUACAUACAUACAUACAUACAUACAUACAUACAUACAUAUAUACACUUGAAGAACAUAGUUCUACACAGGGGAUAUGAAAUUCUUCGUUUAGAAUAUUACAAAUUCGAAUAUUCGUUUGAAUUUAGAGAAUGACACAACAUUCUAAAUGCACUGUCUGUUUCCCUUUUUCUUCAGCAUACACUUCGCAAAAUUGACAGUUGGUUUAUUACAUGGAAUAUUGCACUACUUUUAUUCAACUGUAGCAAAACAAUAUUGUGUGAUUUGAUUUAAUUUGAUUUAAUUUUAUUUUGCCUUUUCCGUGAUUUCCUAUUUUCAAAAUACAAUCUACCAUGUCAGGUAUAUCACAAUGCAUAAUUUUAUUCGUUCAACAUCUUUCACUGUAGCAUUUUGCAAAUUCGAUAUAUGUAUUGUACACAUUUUGGCUCAAAGAUUAUUCAAAAUUCAGUAUGUUAUCAUCCACAAAUUCGUGCAGAUUUUUUCUAAAUGUGGAUAGAUUAUAUCCAAAAUAGAUUAUUUAUGAUGUUUUUUGGAUGGAAAUUAUAGUGGGCUAAAUUUAUGGCAUUUGGUAAUUGUCUUUUUUGGUUUUUUCGAUUUUGAAGUUUGAUUAGAGUAAUAAUUUGUAAAUUUUAUUUUUUCAACCAAUUUUAUUUGAAAAUCAAUAAUUUAUAGAAUUAAUGCCAUAAUGUGUAUAUAUAUAUAUAUAUAUUAUAAUAUUAUAUAUUUUGUUUUUUUUAAAUAUAAAUAUAUAUGUAUAUAUAUAUAUGUGUGUGUGUGUGUGUUUUUUUCUUUCCCUCUUUCAUGGUUUCCUAGUUACAAUUAAGAAAUUAGUAAGUUGGGGAAGAGAGCUUGUUUUCAUUGAGAUAAAUAAAUAAAUAAAUAAAUAAAUAAGAAUGAAAGUUCCACCUGGAAUGGAAGUAGGGCUGCAUACAUACAUACAUACAUACAUACAUACAUACACACACACACACACACAUAUAUAUAUAUAUAUAUAUAUAUAUACAUAUUGCUAAUGUUAUUGGUUGGAAGAAGAAAUAAUGUUGUAGAAUAUCCAACUAUCUUGUCAAAUCUCUUCUUCUUGUGUUUAUUCUAGAUAAAUCCCAGAAUCAUAAAACCCUGGGAGAUAAGUAUGAUCUUGCAAAAAAAGUUAAAGUGAGAAGAACAUGUAUAAUACAUAAAUACAUAAAUACAUACCAAAUACCUAAUUUUUGCAAUAUUGUCCUAGUUUAGAUAAACACCUUUUUCCAAUCUAGUAAGAGUUAUUUUUUUCAAAAUGAUGUCAAAUAUCAUCAUGUGUUUUAUUUUGUGUGAAAAAAAUGCCAUCUUAUUUAACUUCUAAAUGUAUUGGACAACUUCUCUAACAUUUACAAAGUCCCAUUUUCCCCACUACCUAACACCCACCAACAAGAUUUUAAUUGUUUACAAAAGUGAACAUUCUAAACAUGUUUUGCUUCAAAAUGAUGCCCAAGCGACCCAAACACCAACAAAAACAUCCGGACCAAUUUUUAGGGUUAACAUCCCAAAGAGACACAACAGAAGCUUGGACGGUGAUGUGGGAACAAAAAUUAGGGUUCCAAAGUCACUGACGUGGACAUCUUCGUUGUCCACUUCCGUCCUUCGUCGUGCACUGUAGAGCUAUCUUCGGCGAGGUAUUUUUGUCGGAUGCGAGAGGACAAAGAUGUGAGCAUUAAUUUAAAAAAGAAAAAAAAAGAAAAAAAAAAAAACCCACAUUUACCUACGAAAGGUGAUGGAAUUUGUUGUCAUCGCCUUCAAUAGAACGAACCAAACGCCCCAAGUAAAAAGUUAUGGGGUGAAUCAACCACACACUUCCACCAAAAAUUGGGGUUUCAUUCCUUCUUUCAUCGACCCAUCUAUCCACCCUUCGUCUUCUUGUGGUUUUCACCAUAGUUUUCUACGAAAGGCUUCACUUCGCAGGGAGAAGUUCCAGAUGGGGUUGAAUGUCUCCUACAAUUUGUUCGAUACAGAAUCAGAUUGACUAUGAAUUGGUGGUUUUUCCGGUGUGGAAAACGUGAGAGGUGAAGCGAAAAAAAAAACAAAAGGCUGGGAAGGGUAUGAAUGUAUGUAAUACACAUACACAUGGUUUACAUACACAUGUGUAUGUGUGUAUGUGUGUACGUAAACCAAGUAUAUAUAUAUUUGUGUAUUACUGAGUGGGUCUUCCGCGUGGUCAACGCCGAAUCGAGGUGCAAGCUGAUUGGGUCACAUGGCGUGGUGAACAGAGUUGCUGCGAUCACGAUGACGCCGAAAUCAAUAAGCUGUGGGGCUGCCAAGAUGUGAUGAUAAUACCACAGAGGAAGAAUAGAAAAAGAGCACAAUGUACGACUCGAGGUGGAGUUAUUGCUGCCGCUUUCGAGCCGCGGUGUCGUGAAGAGCCAUCGAAGUUGUGCGGAUUCCAGGGGGAACAGUGCGUGGAAGUGGUGACGAGAUGAAAGAGGAGAUUGGUGCAUGGGGGUGCGUUUUGACCUGAAAGACGAUUAGGAUUGAAUGGAUAUCAUUGUACUGCUUCGGACAGGAUUAGGGGUUGAUGAGGGACGGAUGGACAGUGGUAGGAUCGACGGAGGGAUCGAUCGAUCAAUCGGCGAUGAUGAGUUCCCUGGUUGUCACGAGAUUUCACGGCGGAGUUUUAACUUACGGUAGGAUGUGGUCAUGGCCGUUUUUAACUUCACGUAGAACAGUAACGGGAAGUUGCUUUUGAGCGUGAGAUAACGAAGUCGAGGGGGGAGGGGCAAUCUCGCCGGCGCGGGGUCAGUCCAAAGUCGUGGGAGAGCGACGAGUCUUCACAUAGCUGUUUGACCGAUGCAAGCGGAGUUUCUGCCUCCCACUUGCGCCCCUCAGCUGCUGGUCACUAUAGCGGAAUAAUGAGGUGUUAAUGGGUGGCAUUGGAGAGAAGUCUGGGGCCUGCCGAGCCCAAUCUUGGUGCUAUCAUUGAUGUUCCUCCGAGAUGCUAGUAGUGUUUUUUAUUUCCAGUCAAUCGCAUGAGUGGCCUGGCUGCGUUUGUCCUGCUCCGCAUCGCAUCCCUAGGGCAGAUUUCCUCCGUCACUGCACCUGCUGACACUCAUCAAAAUAUCACACCCAGGUCCAGAGCUCUGCACAUCUGCAACUCUGGAGGCCCUGCAAGCUCAGGGAUCUUCUUGGUGAGGACUGAGCUGGGCGAAUGAAACCGGCACUGUGUGCCUGUUCUCCAGCGCUAGAGUCAAAAGUAAAAAAAGAAAGAAAGAAAGAAAACAAUAAGUUAUAUUUUUAUGUUUUUGUUUUGUUGGGCCUAGUUCGUCAGAUCAUGCUCCGGCAAAGCAGUGGCUUCAUGCACUGACUUCGACUGGCAACUUGAAGAAUGGGAAAAUGUGUCCUGCGGACACGCUCCCAUCAGUAACGUAACUUUUCUACGAGUCGUUGGGUUGUACAAAGCUCCUGCCGUAUUGGAGCUGCGCGGAGAGGUGGUGUGAACAGGUCCGUGAACAGGUCCUGGAACUGUGACUUCGGUUUUCACGGUGAGAUAAAAAUUAAAAGAAACAUCGAAGUAUAAAAAGGUGGAGAAGGAGACGAAAGAGGUGAGAAGUGGAGCGAAAAAUGGGUGGAGCUUAUUGACUAGGCAGAAACAGAAAAGCAUGAGGAGGGUGAGGUGGCUGGACCAGUAGCAUCUGAUCAGGCCAGGCUUGGAUAUUGGAAGGGGCAUUAGGAAUGCGUUGUGGUGAGAAAGUAUGCAGAUGUACGCGACGCGCCGUGUCCUUGCGUGCAUCGUGGUGGCGUAUGAGUAUGGCAGGCUGCUUCGGACAAGCACUGUAGCUGGGUGAAUCUAAACGGGUGCUGUGGAAAAGAGUAACACAUCCAAAGCUGACUUCUCUCUCACGCUCGUUUUGCGACAUCUGCCGUUGCACCAGUAGUUUGUGACAAUUUAAGUACCGGGAAGCACAGAGUUUGAAAGUGUUGCGCAUCGUCGAUUGAUGCGAAUCACAUGCAUCAGUCUUGCCUGGGAGAGGCAGUCCUGGUCUCCGCGAACAUUUGCACCUACAAUACGUUCCAUGAUUGUUCGCAGCUUCAUUAACCCCAGUUGACGCAAACUGGUCGGGGAGAAUGUCAACUGGAAGAUACAAUGGGAGAGGUUAGGAGCCCAGUACUAAGGAACUAUCCAACUGAUCCAUGCUGUUACGAAAUGGCAACUUAUGAAAUACAGCAGGCAUGAAAAACACUUCCUGAGUGCCAUUCAUGCGCAAACUUGUCGUGCUUGUCAAGUGGAUUGAUUAACACAAGCAUCACGUGCAGGCUAGCAAGUGUAAUCAUGGUUAAGGCAUGAGUGAGAAAGGUGAGUAAAAUCUGGCAAGGCGGAAAACAAUGAAGGAAUGAUCAAACAAAUGCAACUAAAAUUAGACGAUUUGAUCUGAAGGGAUCGGCAUGCACUGGUGCACGAACAAGUCAUGAGAAAGAAAAGAAUGUAGUGGGAGAGGAAGAAAUGGCCAUAAAUAGCGAGAAUUUUACAGGCAAGCUCCUCACAGCUCCUCUGGACGAAGAGGCUCCUACGAAUUGCGGCAAGUAGUCUAGCUAUUCCCAUACACCAGGAGUACUGUCUAGAUACACUUUAUCAUCAUCCUGGAGCCUCCGUCCCCGAGGGACCUCUGGUAUUUAUUCCAUUCCACAGGAGAAGAGCCUCGGAGAUGGAUGCAGCAAAAUAAGGUAGAAACAGAUUGCCCCAAUUAUUUUGCAAAACCGAUGAAGAUGAAUAAGGUGGAUCUCGAGCAGGUGAAGUAAUAUUAUAGAGAAAGAGAAAGUGAAAAAGAGAGCGAGCGAGAGAGAGGGAGGCAGAGAUAGAGAGGUGCUCACAGCUAUACCUAUACCUUGUGGAACCUAUACAGAUCGACGGAGCGAUUCGCGAUUGAUCUUCUUGCGUACACGUAAUUGGAGAUGGUGAAGCUUGGAGGUGAAGCGUAGGGUAUAAAGAGAGUUUAGACAGAUUCACUGAAGGAUAAGAUAGAAGUCUAAGAGCAUGUAUGUACAAAGAAGAAUCCGUCGUUGCCGUCUUGCUGCAGAAGCUCCGCAAACCAUCGUCCUCGUCGUCUUUGUGACAAAAAUAAUUCACCUUUUGUAGAGGGACACCAGCACUUCAGUGGUGCCGUUGUAUAUAACCUGUAACGACCAAAACUGCGUAUGUUCAAACAGUUCGCUCACUGCUGCGUCGGCAUGCCAUGCACAUUCCCGUUGUUCAUGCCGCCGACCACACCGCUUAGGUUGAUGCCGUUCACUCCAUUUACACCGUUCUGAGAGCUAUCCGAUGCGGCAUUCGGCAUUCGCUUUCGCUUUUUCUUCUCGUAGGCGAUGCCUCGCGCCUUGGCCUGCAUCUCACGCACCUCGCGCAAGUACAGACGCACUUGGCGAGCGCCGAAGGGAUUGCUCUCGGGUUUGCCCCCAUUCUCUUCAAAUGCCGCCCGUAACCUACCGAUGAGCGCGUCGAGGGAUCCCCACGCUUGCCGCAGCGGACAUGGACAGGGAUGUGGGGGAUGAGGCAACCCAAAGAAGGGGCACGAUUGGACGUGCACCUUGGUCUUGCCGAAUUGGUCAAGAUAGCGCACAAACUCUAACACAUGCACUCCUGUACACCGUGCCAGCGCUAAGGGUGGACGAUGAUUUCGAAGAUACUGUCCAAAGGUGUUCCAGUCUCGCCGCUUCUGUGCCUCGUAGCGACUCGGCGCUCGUGAGUUUUGGUCAUGCUGGGGGUCUACCUGCAUCCCCAGAGGAAUGAGCCCGUUCGGAACGAGGCCGGACGAUUCCAUGAGGGAUGAUGGCCCCGCCCCGCCAUGGGCAUCCUGCAAGUUGCCAAGGGCAACUUCACCACUCAUAAGCGACUGUAUCCGGCUGGCGAAAUCGUAGUUUUCUCUAAUCGUGGCGGGUUUAAAAUCCCGAUCCAGAGAUCUUAUGAAGUGUUCGUCCCGGAUGAACGACGGCUCACCUGGUCUGCUACAGAUCACAGGGUGGAGCGUCGCCACCGUCGGGUUUAGAAUGCUCCGGAACUCGGAGUUGCGGAAGUCACUUGUCAUCCAAAGAAGCUGUGUCAACGGGGAAUCUCUUCUACAGAAGAAUUGAGACACAACAUAGCCUGGACCGCUCCCGAUGCAGCCAGUAAUCUCCACACGACGAUGAAGGGCUGUAGUCGGAUACACGAUUGAUUCCUUAAAAAUCUGUAAAAGGCGUCACAGAGGUUGUUAGUCUUCACCAUGCAUGUAGCUACUACAAAACAACUCUUAAAAGUGAAGAACUGCAGGCAGAUGGACGAAGAAGCACGACCAUUGAUCAGAAAGUAUAUUGUGUCGGUAAAACGGAACAUCGAGAUAAAAAGCGAAUAUCUGUAUAAGAUGACUUGGGGAUGGAGCUUUUGUAUGACUAGCUACAUGUAUUUCAGUGCACUAUCUCCGCGAAUGUGAUCUAUUUGGGGGCCGCAUGAGCAACAGGUGCAGGAAGCCGAGCUCAUAAUAAAAUGUGUAACUCCUCAUUUAAGGUAGAAUGCGAUGCUCUCAGGACACGGUCGAGACUUGGAAAACCUGUACAGUGAUCAAGAACUCGACGCACCCAACGGCUUUGGAGAGGGAAAUAUGCAGCGCAUUGCCUAGAGACACUAUGGAAGGCGUGUUUUACAGAGACGCUCACCUCUAAGCACGAUCCUCUGACGCAUGCUCACAACGUUACUUCAAAGCUCAAUUGCGUCGGUCGAGUCAUGAUUGAGAUGGUGCCUUCUGCUUUGUUGAAAUCUGCUGAUAGCUCACAUACCAUGAAAACUCUUCAAUGCUUUUUGGGUACUCCAAAAUGUUUUUAAGAACGUGGGUGGACGUUCUAUGAGUGAAGGCAAGGUUCUGUGCUCGAUAAAAACCGUGAGGAGCAACUGCAAGAAAUGAAUCGAAUCUAUCAGUCACUCUCUGAACAUCACAAGAAAAUGCAGUUUACCUCAAAACGCCAUUCCUUUUACCGCUAGUCACUGAAGCUUGGCAACUAGAACAAGGCAAACGACCUCUACCGAAGAAUUUCGUUGAGAUCUUCCGGAGUGAGAGCACGCAAUAGUUGCUACUACAUCCUAGCCCGCUCAUAAUUGAACCUUACGAUGCGGUCGGUUUCAGGUAUGUGUGGACUCCUUUCCAAAAAUAUAGAAAUUUCAGGGACCACGCAUGUGAAUGCGGAAGCUAUCAGCGCACUCUACACCUGAACGAAACUUCUCUGAGCUUUAGCAUACUCUAAAUUUGUUUGGGGAUGGAGCAUGAAUCAAACUUCUUGCCAUCUUUAACAUCCAAAGCAGAUUCAAGUUCUGGGCCUGAACUUUGUGCCCGCCGAAAUUAAGAGCACGACGAAGGUGGGUCAUCUACAGUCGAGACCAUAUAAUUGAAACAGUCUCGGUGGCAGCUGCACUUUCCAUAUCGGUUACGAUUAAGCGUACGAAGCUUACACUGAAUUGAGGAUGUUGUAGGCUUAAGUUUAAAAAUGUGUUGCACUAGAGCACAAGCUGAAUUCUAAAGUAAGAGCUUAUUGAAUUUUAACUCGCUCAUAUUCCAUUUCGACGAAAUCAGGACCAAAUAAAGUGUACCAGGAAGAGCAACUUCACGCUUGUUUGUUUCCAAGUGUCAAGUCCUGAGGUAUGAAUCAAGGCACUCAGGUAUGCCACAGCAUACAUGAGCAGGCCCUGAGACAAAAACAUGGUUGUGAUGUGAAAGAUCUGGAGGUCACCUCGACAGGUUCCAAGCUAACGCAGACUGGUACCAACAGAAACAGCCACUGUACAAGCUAUGUAGAAUACUCGACAAUGGACGCUUGUGAUUUCUCUAAAACGUCAGUAUCCAGGCUCCGAAAUGCACAGCACUGUGCAGCCCCCGUAAUGUAACCCAACCUAAGGUGCCUGGAAAAAGUUACUAGUCUGCUAAUUUCAAACUUGCGGCGCCGGAAUGAACUGGAGAACACCAACAGUGGUCAACAUGCAAACUAGUUAACAGCGUCGCAAUUCGCAGGUCGCAAACUUCAACCACGAGGUUCCCACCCACUACCCAUUCCCUCUCAAACCGCCGUUCUCACAUCCCCACUUCAAACCCUCUGACACGCGCUGCUUACCGAUCGAUCGCGGCUAGCUACCAACCUUGGCGGCUCAGCAGCAGCAGCACACGCGCAAGCAAGUGAGAGAACCACACCUCUUUAUCGCAACCACUGCUGCAGACUAACACAAACAAGUGAAGCGAAGCUCACAUAUCCAACACCCCCUGAACUCUACGACGGCAACACACACGCGCAAACAGAACUGGAACGCUGGCACGAAACAGAUUCCUCCUCCCCGACUAAUUAGCCUCCGGACGUCAGCUGAGUCU
rnacentral:lncRNA from 1 species